CUUCAAACAAAUUGAAAGAAAGCCUCUAGGAAUUCACUGCCAAAACAUAGAAUAAUGUGUAUCAUAGAUACAACACUAAGCUUCGAAUAGUGGAUGACGUCUCAGCACUCCUGAGAUUUGAAGUAAAAGAGGUGAUGGGAUAUUACCGCGGGACCGAAGCAGUUCAAAGACUAGAUUAGCCCAGGCAUCGAGCUUCUAGAGUGUCACGACCCAAACCGAUGGGCCGUGACGAGUGCUUGAGUCCUACCUGACAAACACCCCUAAGCAUGCGUCUAAGAUAUGAAUCUGAAUAACAUCUGCUGCAUUACGAAAAUAACUUACUUGAAGGAAACAUGCCAUCAAGGAAUAUGUACGUAUACAUGUAGAAUACAGUGGGCGAGCUGGCAAGGCUGCUAUAAACAACUAUACAUCCAAAACUUAAAGCCGACAAAGCCACAUACAACCUAACUAGACAUACUGUCCACAGACCUCUAACAGAAACAUAACUGUACAAAGACGGGACUGAGCCACGUCAUACCCAUAUAUAUAUAUAUACAAACGUAUGGUACCAGAUCAAAAGUAGCUCUAGAUCAAAUGGAGCACACCAACUCUCGCUGAUCAGGGAUCCUAAGAAGGGAAACCGUCAGCUUGCCUACCUGCACCUGCGGGCAUGAAAUGCAGGCCCCGUGAAAUAGGGCGUCAGUACGAAAAAUGUACCGAGUAUGUAAGUCAUGGACAUUAGUACGUAAAAGAUAUAGAUGAAACAUGGAAUAUAGAAACACGUCUUUAAAUCUGAACAACUUUAUAAAUUCUAAAACAUUUAUAAUGUCGUGCACGUGCGUAUAAAUAUCGUGCCAUGCAUAGGUAUGGGUGUACAUUAUAUCAUCAAGCCACUGAGGGUAUCCCAUCAUAUCGUCUCGGCCACUGUGGGCAACAUCAUCAUCAUAUACCAGCUGAUCAGGUGGUGGUGCGUAUAUAACGCUGUAACCUUUUUCCAUAUCCCAUAUACAUAUAUUUACAUAUAUACACAUAUAUAACGCCGCCUAAGUCAUAUUUCAGCCACUAUGGGCAACAUCAUUAUCAUAUACCAACUGGUCAGGUGGUGGUGUGUAUAUAUUGCCGUAACCUUUUCCAUAUCCCAUAUACAUAUAUACGCGUAUAUAAUGCCAUCUGGUCACGAGUCAAUGCACAUGAGUGAAAUGCAUGAAAAAUACAUAAUAAUCUCAAUAUUCCUUCCGGAUAAACUUUUCCAAUUGCGUAUUAUUAUGAGACCCAUGAAAAGAAAAUAAUAAUAAUUUUCAUGGGGAAUCAAGAAUAUAGACACCCCUAAUAAUUCUAUGAAUAGAGUAAUUUAUGGAAACUCUGUAUUUGCUCAUUUCUUUAAUAUAAUUUGGGCCAUGCCAAAAGAAAGAAGGGAGAGCCUUAAUAUACCUGUCAUUGAAAUUAUUUGAACGAAUCUGCUUCUGUUCUUGCAUUAGAACUUGGACGCAAUGAUUUUUGCUCUAGCAUUUUUAGUUUUGAAAACAAAGACAAAAGGGAUGUGAUCUAAAUUUCAAGCUUGCUCCAACGUUUUCUUUGGUUUGAAGUCUUAAGAGAAAAUGUUUC
rnacentral:lncRNA from 1 species